GACGAACGCUGGCGGCGUGCUUAACACAUGCAAGUCGAACGGAAAGGCCCUGCUUUUGUGGGGUGCUCGAGUGGCGAACGGGUGAGUAACACGUGAGUAACCUGCCCUUGACUUUGGGAUAACUUCAGGAAACUGGGGCUAAUACCGGAUAGGAGCUCCUGCUGCAUGGUGGGGGUUGGAAAGUUUCGGCGGUUGGGGAUGGACUCGCGGCUUAUCAGCUUGUUGGUGGGGUAGUGGCUUACCAAGGCUUUGACGGGUAGCCGGCCUGAGAGGGUGACCGGCCACAUUGGGACUGAGAUACGGCCCAGACUCCUACAGGGGGCAGCGGUGGGGAAUAUUGCACAGUGGGCGGAAGCCUGAUGCGGCAGCGCCGCGUGCGGGAUGACGGCCUUCGGGUUGUAAACCGCUUUCGCCUGUGACGAAGCGUGAGUGACGGUAAUGUGUAAAGAAGCACCGGCUAACUACGUG
rnacentral:rRNA from 1 species